CGCCGUUCCCCAAUCUCUCCAUUCCAUCGCCACACCUACCUCGCCGCCGCCGCCCCGACCCGUAUCCCUUGCCGCCAUGGCCUCCCCGGCGCCGGCGCCCCCCGCAGCCGCCGCGACCCACUCCCCUCCCCCGCGCAUCGGGCUCGCCGGCCUCGCCACCAUGGGCCAGAACCUCGCGCUCAACAUCGCCGAGAAGGGGUUCCCGAUCUCCGUCUACAACCGCACCGCCGCCAAGGUGGACUCCACGCUCGUCCGCGCGCGCGACGAGGGCGCGCUCCCGGUGCUGGGCCACCGCGACCCGCGCGGGUUCGUGCUCUCCCUCGCCCGGCCCCGCACCGUCGUGCUCCUCGUCCAGGCGGGCCCCGCCGUCGACGCCACCAUCGACGCCCUCACCCCCUACCUCGAGCCCGGCGACGCCAUCGUCGACGGCGGCAACGAGUGGUACCAGAACACGGAGCGCCGCAUCGAGGAGGCCGCGGCGCGCGGGAUCCUGUACCUCGGGAUGGGGGUGUCCGGCGGGGAGGAAGGCGCGCGGAACGGGCCCUCGCUCAUGCCCGGCGGCCACGUCGACGCCUACAACAACAUCAGAGACAUCCUCGAGAAGGCUGCGGCACAGACGGAGGACGGGGCCUGCGUCACCUUCGUCGGGCCCGGUGGGGCUGGCAACUUCGUCAAGAUGGUGCACAAUGGUAUCGAGUAUGGCGAUAUGCAGCUCAUCGCAGAGGCCUACGAUGUGCUCCGCAGAGUCGGGGGCCUGUCGAAUUCGGAGAUUGCUGAUGUGUUUGAUGAGUGGAACAAGGGGGAGCUCGAGAGCUUCUUGGUUGAGAUCACCGCAGACAUUUUCACUGUGGCUGACCCACUGGAUGGGAGCGGCGGGGCGCUGGUUGACAAGAUUCUCGACAAGACUGGGAUGAAGGGGACUGGGAAAUGGACGGUGCAGCAGGCCGCAGAGCUAGCAGUGGCUGCACCCACCAUUGCUGCAUCGCUUGAUGGGAGGUACUUGUCAGGGUUGAAGGAUGAGCGAGUCGCAGCUGCUGGUGUGCUGGAGGAGGAGGGGAUGCCAGCCGGGCUGUUGGAAAAAAUCAAUGUUGAUAAGAAAGUGCUGGUGGAUAGGGUGAGGCAGGCGCUUUAUGCAUCGAAGAUUUGCAGCUAUGCGCAGGGCAUGAAUCUGAUACGAGCCAAGAGCGUGGAGAAGGGAUGGAACCUUAACCUUGCGGAGCUUGCCAGGAUCUGGAAGGGUGGGUGCAUUAUCCGUGCAAGGUUUCUUGAUAGGAUCAAGAGGGCAUACGACAGGAACCCUGAGCUCGCCAAUUUGAUUGUCGACAGAGAGUUUGCAAGGGAGAUGGUGCAGCGACAGAAUGCCUGGAGAUGGGUUGUAGCACGGGCAGUGGAGGCUGGCAUUAGCACUCCAGGAAUGACUGCUAGUCUUUCCUACUUUGACACCUACAGGUCCAGUAGGUUGCCUGCAAAUCUGAUCCAAGCGCAGAGGGACCUGUUUGGGGCACACACCUAUGAGCGAAUUGAUCGUCCGGGUUCAUUCCACACUGAAUGGACCAAGCUGGCAAGGAGGAGCAAUGGUGCAGCCAUUUGAGGACUUGGUAUCAGCAGUUCUGUCAGUUACUCUGGGUGAUGUCUCUUUGUGGGUUCUCUUUCAUUUCACUAUUGAUGUCUCUAUGAUCCUAGAUCUGAGUUGUGU
rnacentral:lncRNA from 1 species